rnacentral:lncRNA from 1 species
UCCCAUGCAAAGGCCUUUAGCCUACAACCAUCCUUCGUAAUUAUGUCACACACUCCUACCUCUAUCACCUUUACCUGCAGCUGAAUAUCUCGCCGGGUGCAGUGGCAUGUACCUGUAAUCCAAGUCACUUGGAGGCUGAGGUUGGUGGAUCAAGUGAGCUGAGGAGCUCUGGGCUGCAGCACGCUAUGUCGAACGGGUGUCCACGCUAAGUUCGGUAUCGAUAUGGUGUUCCUGGGGGAGCCUGGGACCACCAGGUUGUCUAAGGAGGGGUGAAACGAAGCAGGUCAAAUCCCCCGUGCUGUCCAGUAGUGGGAUAAUACCUGUGAGUAGAUGCUGCAGUGCAGCCUUGGCAAAACAUCGAGACCUAAUC